AACGAUGUAGUUUAUGUAGAAUGGGUACUCUGCAAGUAUCAGGUGAGGAAUACUCCGUUGUUG
rnacentral:tRNA from 1 species